rnacentral:rRNA from 1 species
GAUGAACGCUGGCGGCAUGCCUAAUACAUGCAAGUCGAGCGAACGGACGAGAAGCUUUUUCUUCUGAUGUUAGCGGCGGACGGGUGAGUAACACGUGCAUAAGCUACUUAUUUGUCUGGGAUAACUUCGGGAAACCGGAGCUGCUACUGGAUAAUACUUUGAACCGCAUGGUUCAAAAGUGAUAGACGGUCUUGCUGAUACUUUUAGAUGGAUCCGCGCUACAUUAGCUAGUUGGUAAGGUACCGGCUUACCAAGGCAACGAUGCGUAGCCGAUCUGAGAGGAUGAUCAGCCACACUGGAACUGAGACACGGUCCAGACUCCUACGGGAGGCAGCAGUAGGGAAUCUUCCGCAAUGGGCGAAAGCCUGACCGAGCAACGCCGCGUGAGUGAUGAAGGUCUUCGGAUCGUAAAGCUCUGUUAUUAGGGAAGAAAAUCUGUGUAAUUAACUGUGCACAUCUUGACGGUACCUAAUGAAAAAGCCACGGCUAACUACGUG